UUUCUCCUUUUCUGUAUCAGCACGUUUGCCAUACAGAAUGAACACGUUCCUCUUGGGGAGCCAGCCUGUGUGAUUCCACGGUUAUGUGUGGGAACCCCAGCGAACGCCACCUGAAUGUCACAAAGGGCGCUCUUCUUCGCGGAGUGAUCCCCCGGGGUCCAGGCCCCUCACGCCCUCCCUCACAGCUCCGAGACACAGGAAGAGCACUUCCUGAAGGAGAACCGGGUCCCUGGUGGCCCUUGCUUUCUUUGUCUCCAGGUGCGACCAGAGACCCGCAGCGAGCAUUCCCUGGACACAAUGCUGGUGAAGCCAAAGAACCUCAGGCGGAGCCCAGACCUGCAGUUCGACCUGUGCUUUCACAAGAUGCCUGGAGCUUCCAGCUUCCGGCGCUGGGGAAGGUUGGAGAAGCAGGGACCUGGGCCCCGCCCUGCGUCUUCCUCCAGCUCCCAGCUGCGCGUCUGCCUGCAGCGCCUGCCCGUCCCUGGACUCCACACAGCUGCUCCCUCUCUUCCUGCUGGCUGCAGCUCAGGCAUUUCUGGAAAACGGUAUCUAAAAGAAUGCCCCCCCCAUUUUUCCACCCUGUUUUCUUUGUCUUCCAGGGCUUUGCCACUGUAAACUCGGCACAGUACUUGCAUUUGGCAGAUGAAAAGUAUUUUUGAGUGCAUGAAAAGUUGAAUGUAAAGCAAUAUGAAGGGUGAUUGAAAACUACGGUGGAUGCUUAAAUUAAAAAGAUUAUUAUAGGAAAAGACCCAUUGCCACGAUUCCCUCCAACCCUCCCCGUUUCCAACACACUCAUCCCCUCUCUUGCCAUUUUCCAAAGCACUUCUGGAAGUCCUUUUACCUGCAUGGCUUUUAGUGGCGCUGUCACAGCUGCCUCCAUGUCCUGAAUCCGUUCCAAACGUCUCCCUUUCACGGUCAUUUGGCUUGCGGGAAGAGCCAGAGGUUGCACAGCGCCAGAUCUGCUGAGUGAGGUGGAAGAGGACACAGCAUCAUGCUUUUACAAGCCCGCUUUCCCAUUGGAUGGUGCUGGGCAGCGGCACUGGCCAUGUUUUUAUCACAUCCAAUGAAGAGACUCACAAAAGACUGCUUCAGAGAGUGACAACAACGAGGGAUGAGCGCCUGUGAAGAGAGGGUUAUGUGGAGGAAGAUGCACGGUGAAGCGUCUUUUACUGUAAUUAGACACACACCAGUGUCCAGUCAGGCCUUGUGUGAUAAGUUGGAUGUCACUCGUCCCGAGAGGCGCAGAGGGGUCUCCGGAGGCAGGUUGUAGGGAUGGAGAAUGCUGCAAAGGCCCAUGCUCCAGGCGAGGAAAGCAUUUCUCCUGGGCCAGGAAGGCAGACUUCAGCCCACAGUUUUGGAGGUCACUGCUUUGACCAACUACUCUUCAGACCAGCCGAGGCUGUGUGCACCAAGGGUCGACACACUGGCCCCGGAGCUGACCAGCAGUCGGCUUGGCUGGCAAAGUGCUCACCCAGAUAUGAGCACAGCGGCCUCCUGGGUGGCCUCCGUGUGUGCGCUUUUACUUGGCUCUGUGCACAACACUGUACCCCCAUGAGUAGCCGGACCUAGACUCGGCUAGGGCUUAAUGUAAGAUGUGAGGCGUGGUCCGCUGUGAUUAGUAGGAAAAUGAGAUCCAUUGUGGGGGACUCAGGAGAGACCAUACCUCAUGAAGCAGGGCCCUUCCUAAAUCACAUUUCCACUGGACCAGGUCCUGCCCUGGAUGGGGAAACCUGCUUCAGAUUCAGACAGGAGGUAAAGCUGCAGGGACUUGUGAGCUGUGUGUGUGUGUGUGUGUGUGCGUGUGCACGUGCGUGCAUGCGUGUGUACACGCUCGCCCAUGAAGUUGGUGGGCUGAGUGCAGGGCCAGGGCUGCUCCCCAACACCCUGAUUGGGGGUGGGGGUGGGGUGUGGUCACGCUGUCACCCAUCAGAGACUGGGAGGCUUUCUGGAAAGCAGGGCUGAUACCCCUGAGCAGAGGAGGGGGUCCAAGGAGAGAAGCUGCCCUCUAGGCCUGGGGUCACUCUGGAACCUGCCUGGGGCGGUGUCCAGGAUGCAGAGGCUGCCUGGCUGGCUGUGGUCUCCAGGCCACACCAGGUUGGCAGGUCCCAUAGGUGCUCGACAACCGGGCCCUCCAAGUAUGGCCCAGGCACCCCCAUCACCAAGGAGCUUGUAAAAAUGGAAGAUCCUGGCUCUUACCCCAAAUCUGUGCGACCAGAGCCUGCAUUUGAAGCAAGUGUCCCAGUAAUUCUCAUGCUCAUUACAGUUUGACACA
rnacentral:lncRNA from 1 species